CCCGGUGAUCUUAUCCACAGAGAUCCACUUGUUUUCAGUCGAAGAUGUGGCCGUCCUCCGCACGCUGUUUUUGCACGUAGAAGAUGGGCUGUAUAGGGUUAGAUCACUCCUGCUGUUAUUUAUGCCUUUCAAUUUGAGAUCACACUAUUUAUACAUGGCUACCUCAGCCCAACCCCCAGCUCUCCCUGUCUCCAGCAAUUACUGACUGCUCCAUAGUCGCAGGCGGACUCCUAGCAGCUAUCUCCCCCACCUCAGUCCAGCAAUUGGCUUUCUUUUCAUUUCAUCACUCUUUGGCAUCUUUGCACCUUGAUUUAGGGACGCAAGGAGGCAAAAGCGAAAAAGAGGGGGAGAGAGAGAGGGAGGGAGAGAGAGGAAUAAAAGGGAGGGGGGGCGAAGAAGAAAACAUGAAAAUAGGUAUCUGCAUUCUGUAAAGGGGUUGCAGAAAUGAAAGUCGAGGAAGACUUAAUUGAUUGUAAGGACAUCCCGUGCGUGGCAACACUGUGAGUAAAAGCGGACCCACAGCUAAUCAAAUAACUGUGUUCCUGCAAUUAAAUGUAUCGCUGUCAAGAGGAAAAGAAAAUGAGUGUUCAAUAAAAAGGGUUGCAGAAGAGAUUGAUUCAGCAGAAAGGCAGAAAGGUUUGUGUAUGUCCCGGCAGCUUUAUGGCCCAGAUUGUGCAGGAUAAAAGGUUGAAAUCCUGCUGGUUUUGCAGCCUGACAGAUCACACUGGAGUGAUGGCCGUUCCUUGCUGGUAGACCUUGAGAAGAUUUUGCUCAUUGACUGAAGUGGAAAGGAGGAGAGAAGUGGGUAGCAUUUGCAAAGGAGAAGCAAGAGAAGAAUAGAUGUCAGCUGCAAAAGUUACAUACUACAUUUUGUCCUCAUUUGAAAUACAUGGGUAGCUGCUACACAUCUAGACAUCCAGGUAACCCAGAGAAGGCAACUGUGCAGGAACUGAAUGAACACAAUAGAAACCUAUCUCCAGCAGAAGCUGGAGAAUAAGAGUUGGAACCAAGGCUACUGGUUUCUAGUCCCUCCUCUCCUUUUGAUGCACUGUCUGAGCCUGUAGAGGUUAAUGCCAGAACCCCACAGACACCUAAGGGCUCACUUCAACUGAUUCAGUAAUCUGGAAUCUGGAAAAGCCUCACAGAUCCAUGUCUUUUCUGCUGUGUUUAAUAGAAGCACAAAGAAGCUCAGCAUGAGUGCUGUAGAUGUUGCUCAGAGUUUAGAAAGAGCUAUCAGUUAUGGUAGAUUUCCUCAGGAGAAAAAAAAAAAUAGUCCCAAAUUGCCAAUAUGCCACUUUAAAAUGAGGUAAUUUGGAGGUUUUCUUGAUUCACACAAUCCUUUGAAGCAACUCAGCAAGAUGUGCAUUAUCAACAAAAAAAAGAAACAAUGUGGGAGGAAACAAAAGAUAUUAUCUAUGUAUACAAUUAAAAAAAAAAAAGGAACAGAACACAGAAAUGACCAUCCAUUAUAGUUCACUGUUUGAAAAUACUCUUACAGAAUAAAUUCUCAUUAAAAGAAGAAAAAAAAAAGGAAGAAGAAGUGGAAUAAUUGCCAUUAUGCAUCUGAGAGAGUGUAUCUCCAUUAGCUGCAAUUACUACAGUAAUGGUAAAUGAAAAUAAUUUCCUAUUUUGCACUUAUUGUGAGGAAACACUGAAGAGAAAAAAAAAAAAGAGACAUGAAACGAGAGAAAAACAAAGUAUAACAAUUAAUAUACUGAUGAUCUGCUAUCAUCUCUCACCUGAUCGAUCAUCAUGAGGUUUUGGUUUGAUUUAAUUAGCGUAUGGUAAUUUCAUACAGAAUCCCAGUGUGCCGAUGAAAACUGGCGAGUGAAAACAUUGACCUUCUGCUCACAUAUGCAAUGUCUUCUUACAGUGCUAACAGCCUAUAUGCAUCAAUGCUAAAAGGCUGCCGUCUCACAGGAGAGCCCCUGUAUCGGGGGCAUAUCAUUACUGCCUACAGCGAGAUCAGAGUUUGGCUCCUCUUGGUGCACUGGAGUCUAGGGAGCGAAAGGGACGUCGGUUUUCGCCAGAAUAAUAAUUGGUUGUUAUGAGAUUAUGGAGUGCUGCCAUAAACUGAAAAUGAACAGACAAGUUUCUUUUUGUUUGUUUUAUUAAAUGUGAUUAUUGUUAUUUAUUAUGUUCUCGGUCGUCAAUUUUCUCGGAGUCGCUAACAAAGUGUCACAUAAAUCCAGCCUGUCCCUUUCUGACCCUUAUAACAUCAUCCAGUUUUCCCAUUCAGCCUUAAUUCCAGGUAUCAGCUAAUGUGAAAACAUGCACUUUAUUAAAUGGCAAGUUUUCUACUAAACACAUUUCUUCUGCAGUAGGAAGCAACUGCAUUAGAAAUAAAUAUCUCGGCCAGACCUCCUGCAUACUUCUCCCAAUUCAUAAGCAAAAAAAUAUGUUGUGGUCAAACCUACAUUGUUCCAUUUGCCAAUUGUAAAAUAAUAAUAACGUUUGAUGGGCAAAAAUCUCAGCUGUCGGGAGAGAAGAUGGACGAUUUUGCUUAUUGAAUGCUAUUGACUUCAUGGGGCAAAUAAAACA